rnacentral:tRNA from 3 species
CGACUUAGCUCAGUUGGUAGAGCAUCUGAUUUGUAAUCAGAGGGUCGGGCGUUCGAAUCGUCUAG